CACAUGAGGAGACAAUAUUAAUUAGAAGCAAGGCUUUGGCAAUGUUUAUCAAUAGUGCUAAGAAAUGACAAUGCUGUAUUGGGAGCCUAGGUGAUCUAUGUUCAGGAAGAGCUAAUCUAUGCACGAAUUAAACAUUAAACUGGUCUAAUGAAAUUGGUUUUUCCUGGACAUGCCUUGGAAAGGAAAUUGAAAUUUCUAGACAUUAGCCCAUGUAUUUUAAAAUUGCUUCAGUUGUAGAUCAGGAGACAUCAUUUAUUUUGUCUGUUUGCUUUUAAUUGCUGUCUUCCUCAUGUUCCUGCUUCAGUACUCUACACAAGUGCAGACACUGUUGAGGGCCAGCUGACCUCAUGUUCCCUGCUCCUGCCAAGACGCCUGUUCACUCCUACACCAGCACUCAUGACUGGUCCUCCGGUUACUGGCCUUACUCUGUUGUUCUCCUUUGUCUCUUGGCAAUGCUUCCUUACUCAGGCUCCAAAGGAAUCCCACUCCUUUCUUUUAUCUUUUUAUCUUUUCCAUUCCUUCUCUCUCCCUCCCUUUCUUUACCUUCCUCUUUGUCUCUAGUUUUGCUUCCCUUUCCAUUUCAUUUUUUGUAAGAGUUCUCAUUUUCCCAUACAAUAUAUCUCGAUUAUGCUUUCUCUUCCUCCAGCUCAUCCUAGUUAACUCCCUACCUCCAUACUCACCCAGCCUUAGUUCUUUCUCAGUCAAAAAAAUAAAAUAA
rnacentral:lncRNA from 1 species